GAUGACAAACGAGAUUGCCUGAGCACCGGCGCCUGAGAAGAUGUGAGAGACCGAGGGAGAGAGAAUAAGAACGCCCUGUGCGGAUCUCCCUCAAACGCGAGACGCCGGGAUGGAUGACCUCGGGGCCGCGCCACCUGAGCCAUCGCUCUGCACCGGUCGGGCUUCUUCAUCAAGGGAUCUUGAAGCUAUUGGCGUCGUGACCGGUUCGUACUAGGUGCCAGCACCGGUGAGACCCUCUCCUAAUGACUCGAUCUCUCCAUCACCAUAGCCGCGCAUAAUGGAAGUAGAUGAAGCUGCGAUCGCCAUGAACGAAUCUCGAGGUCGGGCGUAUGCUUCCUGGGCGUGCGACAUGAGUACCGUGGAGGUUCAGCUCGCUCCUCCUUCCUUGUGUGCUGGGCCGGGUUGGGUGCUAGGGAGCACCAGGCCCAGGGAUUUCCGUGCCGGUGCCUGGGCAUCACCGGGCGCCGCCACCUUGGGUGCUCACGCUGUUGGGGGCCGGGCGGGCGGAUGGUCAUGGACAUCGACGGCGCCGCCGUCUGUGCGGUCUGGAGGUGGGGGACGUCGUGGCUACCGUCACUCGUUGGAUGAACGGUUCAGAUUAGGUAAACCACGUACCGCUUCGAGGAAUGGAUCUGGGCCGUGGGUUGGAUCGAACGGUCCCUGGUCAAUCUCGCCCACUUAAAAAAAUGUCACCCGUAGAUUCAGGAUCGGGCGGCUCUGGGCGCGUACCGAUUCACUUAUAUGGCGAUCUAAUCUGGACCGCCCACUCAUGAUCGGACGGCACAUAUUGGCCCGUACCCCUUCGGCCAACUCUUUUGCAUAAGAGCCCCUCCGUUUCUGCGGAUUAAACCCGCGGUCCACUGCACGGGUAAACUGAGUCUUAGGAAAACUUACACCGGGACCCCUUAACUUCUCUGUUUUUAUGCGCGCAGUCCAGAAUCAUAGGAAAUUCAGAAAUUCCAUUAGAAAAUGAUUUGUUAGCACACAAAUAAUUGCAGAAUCUUAGUUAAUCCCUAGAAAAUUCAUAUUUUGUCCAAAUUGACCCAUUUUAGUUCCUAUAAUUUUAUAAUAAUGUUAUUUAUCACGCUGUGUCUCUUUUUCAACAUAAAAAUGGUAUUAAAAUUUAUUUCUUAAUUAAUCUCGUAUCAAAUACAUAAAACCUUAGGAAAUUCAUAACUUCCCCAUUUUAAUUCCGAAUUGACUCAUCCCAGUUGCGUUGGUCUCGUAUAAAUAUCUACUAUGCAAUAAUAACAUUUAUUUUUCCAUGUGACAUUCUAUUAUAAUUAGAUCUUUAUGUAACUUAUGUUGAUUAGUCUCGUUAAACCACUUAUCAUUAUAAUCUACUAGAAAAUAAUCUAUGGUCAAUUUAUAACUUAGAAUAAAAUGGAGAUAAUUAUUUAUAGAAUGACCUCUCAUAUGGUUUAUACUAAUUAAAUUAUAAUAUAGUUUAAUACUUUAAUCACACAGAUCUUUUAUAAAAUCAUAACUCCUUAAUCGUAACUCCGAUCUUAGUAGUGCUCGAUCCCACGAUCUCGUAGCAACGUGUAGAUUAUUAAUAUGUAUUUUUCAUAUAUGUUUGGUGUAAUGUUAAUUUUGCCUAUACCAUGUAUGUCUGUAUUGCUACGUUUAGCAGUGAGGACACGCGUCAUCUGAAGAUCAUCCUGGUACCCAGAAUCUCAAGUGCCAGGCAAGUUGUGCCCUUGAUCACUUCUUUUACCCACUCAUGUUCUAAUUAAUCAUAAUGAUCUGCAUAGGUUAAUUUGAUGGGACCUAAUAGGUUACCCUAGUUUGUCUAUCUUUAUGCCUUGUUUACCACUAAACUUUUUGGGUAGUACUUGCUAGUGCUAUAUGUGGAUUUGGGCAUUGAGAUACAUAUUAUUCAUACUUUUGUUAUCAGUUGCUAUUUACUGUUCAUGAUAAGAUCAUUAUGUUAAUUGGAACAUGGAGAACCACCCGGGAAAACAGUGCUACCACAAGGGUUUAAUGGGACGCCCUUGGCCGAUUAAUUAGGAAAGCUAGUGGAAGACUACCUUACCCGAAAGGGGCAAGGGCAGUAGGGGAGUGGUCAGUGUAGGGAGGCCCUCGGGAGGAUUUUGCUGCGAUGGCGGUCCUGCAAGGGAUUCCUGCAUUGGAGCUUCCUAUAAACUGUAGCGGGUUUUCUGAAGCUAGUGGAACUUUGUAAAGGCCUCGUAGUGUUACCCUGCCUCGCCUCCUCGGUAGAGGUGUAUGGGAAGUCGCGAUCCCUUGGCAGAUGGGUAACAUGACUUGUGGGUAAAGAUGCGCAACCUCUGCAGAGUGUAAAACUGGUAUACUAGCCGUCCUCACGGUCAUGAGCGGCUCGGACACUCACAUGAUUAAAUUAUGGAACUUAAACUCAAUUUGUCAUAUGCAUUGCAUCGCAGGUGAGGUUGUUAUUUUUGUUCUACUAUUUAAUUGGGUUGGUAUUUACUUAUACUUAGUAAUUGCUAAUAAAAUUUUGACCAACUUUAAAAGCAAUGCUCAGCUCUAACCAUCCUCUUUGGUAAGCCUUACACUUCACGUGAGCUCCCACCUUUGGCGAGUUCAUACACAUUAUUCCCCACAACUUGUUGAGCGAUGAACGUAUGUGAGCUCACUCUUGCUGUCUCACACCCCCCACAGGACAAGAACAGGUACCCCAGGAUGAGGCGCGUGGAGGAUGCUGUGACGAGUUCGUGAGAGGUCUAGGCCGUCGUCUCCCAGUCAACUUUGGGUUGCUGGAUCGUUUCCUCAUAUGAUGUAAUUAUUUAAUUAUUUUUGUACAGAACACCUGUUAUAUAGUAAAUAUGUGACAUUCGAUCCUGUGCCACUAUGCAUCAUAUGUGUGAGACUUGGUCCCAGCACACCUGGUGUUUAUGUUCGCGCCCGGGUUUUGGACCCCUAAAAUCCGGGUGUGACAUUAAUUUUGCAUAAACUAUGUUUGUUUGUAUUGCUACGAAUAGCAGUGAGGACACGUG
rnacentral:lncRNA from 1 species